CAAUAGCGUAUAUUAAAGUUGUUGCAGUUAAAAAGCUCGUAGUUGGAUUUCUGGCCGAGUGUCCCUAGGCCAGCUUGACGUUUGGUCCUAGGCGCUCUGCCAUCCUUCUGUUAACCUUCGCCUCGUUCACUCGUGGCGCUGGGGCUCAGAUAUUUUACCUUGAGAAAAUUAGAGUGUUUCAGGCAGGCUUUCGCCGGAAUACAUUAGCAUGGAAUAAUGGAAAAGGACUUCAACCUCUUCUGUUGGUCUGAGAGGCUGUAGUAAUGAUUAAUAGGGAUAGUUGGGGGGCUCAGUAUUGACCGGCCAGCGGUGAAAUUCUUGGAUUCGGUCAAGACUAACUUAUGCGAAAGCAUUCACCAAGGAUGUCUUCUUUAAUCAAGAACGAAAGUUGGGGGAUCGAAGAUGAUCAGAUACCGU
rnacentral:rRNA from 1 species